GUUCCGGCGCCGCGCGGUCGAUCGCGGCGCACCUUCACACGCGGGCGGCGGCCAUCUUGGAUCUCGCGGCUCGCGAGAUACCGGAGGGCCGCCUUCCCCGCUUGCCCGGCGGAUCGGUAACUCACCCGACCGCCGGGCUCCACAUCUGUAUACCCUCCCUAGUGUGUACUAGGGAGGGUAUUAGUGUAGCAGGUGAUAUUUUUGCCCAGUGCCUGCCUGCUGUGCUGCAUUUACAAUAUAUGAAUUAAAGAGACAAGCACCCCCUUUUUGUUGCCAGCUCAAGACCUCUAUGUCUCUAUACCCUGCUUAGGGUCAUACCAGUUAAUAUACCCCAAUUAGGGUUAUACUAUAUACUGUUAUACUCUCCACAAGAUCAGAGUUAGGUACAGG